UGCAUUUACUACUGUAAGUCGCUCUGGAUAAGAGCGUCUGCUAAAUGACUGUAA
rfam:Salmo salar isolate Sally breed double haploid chromosome ssa14, whole genome shotgun sequence.